CGGACUCGCCGCUUGUCGCUGAAAACGGCUGCCUAUCUAUCGCUUUCGGUCUCAUACGUAAAGUCACCGCUUCGCAGAACGCAUCGCAGCACAAACGUAACGGACUAAAAGCAAAACGCUCGCUAGCUCGAGAAAACAACACAGUCGGCGUUCGGCCCAAAUUCUCCGUUAUUCGUUCUAGACAAAUAAGCAAGCAGUUGAUUGAGUGAACCGGGCCCAAGCCGUCGAAAUUCAGGAUAUAAGUUUACCUAGUCAAUUCUUUAUUGUUGAUAAUGGAUGACCGAAAUGAGAUACCUCAGGAUGGCCCCGCCAGCAUGGAACCCGAGGGCGUCAUCGAGUCCACCUGGCACGAGGUGUACGACAACUUCGAUGACAUGAACUUGCGCGAGGAGCUGCUGCGCGGCAUCUACGGUUAUGGUUUCGAGAAGCCGUCGGCCAUCCAGCAGCGCGCCAUCAUUCCCUGUGUGAGGGGUCGCGAUGUCAUUGCCCAGGCUCAGUCGGGAACUGGCAAGACUGCCACCUUCUCGAUUGCUAUCCUUCAGCAAAUCGACACGUCCAUUCGCGAGUGCCAGGCGCUGAUCCUGGCCCCCACUCGCGAGUUGGCCACGCAGAUCCAGCGCGUGGUGAUGGCGCUCGGCGAGUACAUGAAGGUGCACUCGCACGCCUGCAUUGGCGGCACUAACGUGCGCGAAGACGCCCGCAUCCUGGAAUCCGGUUGCCAUGUGGUGGUGGGUACUCCUGGCCGCGUCUACGACAUGAUCAACCGCAAGGUGCUGCGCACCCAGUACAUCAAGCUUUUCGUGCUGGAUGAGGCCGAUGAGAUGUUGUCCCGCGGUUUCAAGGAUCAGAUCCAGGAUGUCUUCAAGAUGCUGCCCCCAGAUGUGCAGGUCAUCCUUCUGUCCGCCACCAUGCCGCCGGAUGUGCUCGAAGUGAGCCGUUGCUUCAUGCGCGAUCCCGUCAGCAUCCUGGUUAAGAAGGAGGAACUGACACUUGAGGGUAUCAAGCAGUUCUACGUCAACGUGAAGCAGGAGAACUGGAAACUGGGCACCCUUUGCGAUCUGUACGAUACGUUGUCCAUCACCCAGUCGGUUAUCUUCUGCAACACCCGUCGCAAGGUGGACCAGCUGACCCAGGAGAUGUCUCUCCACAACUUCACCGUCUCGGCCAUGCACGGUGACAUGGAACAGCGUGAUCGCGAGGUCAUCAUGAAACAAUUCCGUUCGGGCUCGUCUCGUGUUCUGAUUACCACUGAUUUACUGGCGCGCGGUAUUGAUGUUCAGCAGGUGUCGUUGGUCAUCAACUAUGAUCUGCCCUCGAACCGCGAGAACUACAUUCAUAGAAUUGGUCGCGGUGGUCGUUUCGGUCGCAAGGGUGUUGCGAUCAACUUCAUUACAGAUGAAGAUCGACGAAUCCUUAAGGAUAUUGAACAGUUCUACCACACAACAAUUGAGGAAAUGCCUGCUAAUAUUGCCGAUUUGAUUUAAAUUUUUUCUGCUGAGCCGCAAAACAACUAAGAAAGAAUUCUAAACAAAAAGCAGCCGACCGACCAACCAACAAAAGGACUAUACCAGGACAGAGCAGCAACAUCUUCAGCAGCGGCGCAGCAGCAGCAACAUCAGCGGCAGCGGAGCGGCAGCAACACCACCUAGCUAGAGCUUACAAUAUAUCGCCGAUUAGCCGGAACCCCUCUGUAUCCAUUUAGUUCUCUGUGUAUCAUCAAUUUUAAAACUGCGUCGUCAACCAGCAACAACAAAUACAUACAAAUAUAUAAAAAAAAAACAACUAAAAACAAUAUUUGCAUCUAUCUAAAGAAAGUAAUAUCUGAAAACCAGGUACGAGAUACCAAUUGCUAAGAAGAGCGAGCCACUAAAAGCAAGAGCCACAAUAUCAGAACACCUUUUUGUCGCACCUUUGUUUUAGCUUUUUCUAGAACUAUUGAUAAAAAUAUAUUAAAACAAAAUACAUAUGUA